AAAUGCUGCUGGGCAACAAAUGGAGAACUAAGGCACCUUGAAGCGAACCGCAGCUAUCUUUUGAAGUCUUCUGUAUUUAAAAAUUAUAUAUAUAUAAGUGGGAUUCUUUUUAAUGCAUUAAUGUCACAAAAAAUUAUCAUCCAAAAAUGUCUGAGCUUUUUUUUUGCCAACUUUUGCACUUUCUUGGAAUUUUUCAUGAAUUUUCCUUUAAUUUUUGCCCCUGUUGGAAUUUUUUUCUGUGCAAGAAAAUGUUCAGUUAACUCUCUGUUGCUGAAGAGUGUGAUGAUGUCUUUUGGGGUGGGAGUGCUUAAAAGCUGAGGAUUUAUCCAAGGGGCUGUACGGGUGGCAACAGUAGCAAAAAAGAUCUUCGGAACUAAUGACUGCAAGAUCCAGAUGCAGCAACGCUGUUGUGUGGCAGAAUCUCUUGACUCUGCUCAUCUGAACUAACCUCACCCCACCCUGAAAACGGGAUGAACUGAGUUGUUAUGCAUGUGUCAAUCAAUGGGAAGACGUGCAUUCUGUAGCUGUAGGUUCUUAUGGUGUUUGGGUUUUUUUAUGCUUUAUCCUUUUGUUUAAAGCCUGUUGGCUAUUGUUUAGCUAUAUGUUGUGAAAGAUUCUCAAAUGUAGCAAAUUUGGACUGGGGCGGGGGGAAGGGGAAAUUUUUUAGGAGCAAAAGGUGUUUAUAGAGCCAACCAAAACACCCUGCUCUUUUUGCUUUCCCCCUAUCCUGUUCUGCUUGUUGUGAGCACUUAAAUUCGAAAAGAGGCUCUGAAAAGUUUUUGUUCUGUAGCGGAUUUGAGGUGCAGGCUGGGGUUGCUUGCUCUUUGCUUGAGGGCUGUUUAAAGAUGACACCCAAAGAGGCAUAAUCAAGGGAUGCAAAAGAGAUGUUCCAUGCAGUAUGUAUCAGUAUGAUUUAGAAGUGCCCCCUCCCCCUCCCCGCCCUCACCCCAUUCUGCCCCAUAUGAUCCUUAUAUCAAAAGCCUUUAUCCACCUGUUGGGGACAAGGCCAUUCUGACAGGUUAGCAAACCUCCAACCCCAACCUCCCGCCCCCCACUCCCAAAAAACUACCCUUGUGGAUGUGUUGUAGAUCUUUUUACCCCCUUCUUGCUCAGUAGCAAGGCAGUCGCUCUGCUUUCAUUUUAGGAAAGUAGAGCUUGGAGGGCAUUGUAUCAAUACUGUUUGAACUGCAAGGUUUUUUCCCUUGUGCAAUUUGAGGAAAGAUCAUAUGUGAAUAUCACUUAAGAGUUUCUUUAUACCUUGCUAUUGACACAUUUUGGUGAUAUUUCUGUCUAGAGCCUGAAACAUGUAUGUAAAACUUGUUUGCAUAUGUUAAUUUUUGACUUCUGAUGUAUUUUUUUUGUUUUGUUUCUAUAUUGUUAGACUUGUAAUGUUUUAAAUUGUAUUUUAUUAAAAUUGGACUGGAUGUAUGUCUAUAGCAAUACGAGGUACUUUUUUUCUUUAAAAAAAACAAACACAACCCCUGUUGGUGGGGAAGGUAGGCUAAUAGCCUUCCUAUUGCGAUAAUAUGCUGGCUGUGUAUAACUGCAAUGUAUUUUUUUUCUCUUUUUUUUAGCCUGCAGGGAUUUUGUGUUCAUGUGUCCAAAAAAAUAAAUAAAGGCAUUUGGGUGCCAAA